rnacentral:lncRNA from 1 species
UAUUUCCAGUCGAUACUUUGACUAUUUCUACUUGUGCCUAGUAGCCCUCUUGUCGGAUCUACCCCUUUAUCCUUUUUAAUACCACCUCCUGCUAGGAACUGCUGAAAACAUUUUUUCUCUGUGAUAAUAGUUAAGAAACCCAAAACUCAGCUUGAGUUAUUCUUUCUCAAACAUGGAAUACAUCACUCACCAAGGAACUCUUUUUCCUAUAAUGAAGACCAACGUCUGAGAAAAAACCUGAGUUGUUGAAGAGAUGUUUUAGACUUCCACAUGACUGCUGGUACUGGUCAGGAUGGCACCAAAACACUGUAAUAAAACAGAAUAUGAGCUUUUCCUGUAACAGUUACCAGUUCAUGUUAUUUCUAAGUCAGGUGAAUUUUUGACGCUAACAUGAAAGCAUAUUAAACAAGCUGUAUGCUUUCCCCAACAGCUAUAUUUGG